UCGCCUGGCUCUGGAAGAGGAGGCUCCUGGGGCGGGGCGGGGCGGGGCGGCAGCUCCCUGGGCGAGGCCAGGCCUGGGGGACGGGUGGGUCCGCUAGCUGCAGCAUUCAGCAAACGACAAAGGCACACCUCUCUUACCUGGAACAGGAACCAGCCGGCUUCUCCCACUGCAGGGGGCAGGCCAGCACUGUCCCACCGGCGAAGGAACAGAGGGGCCCAGGCAGGGCCCCGCCCCAGGGGCUGAUGGGAACUUGACAGUGCCUGUGAUGCUGCAAGGACGUGCCAACACGGACCAACUCCCUAAUCAUUAAAAACAAAACCAAACCAACUUCUCAGGAAGGAGUUUGAAAACGGGGAGUAGGUGAGCCAGACCCCUGUCCUCCUCUGUCCUGUGAGCCCCGCUGCUUCCGGGGCCUGCUGCCCUCAGCUGCCAACAGCAGGAGUGAAGGGGGCCCGUGGGAGCUGGUAAUGACCUGACCUCGGGUUAGCAGCGUUCAAAGUGCAUUCACACUCAUGACCCCGGAGUAGACUGUCCCCAACGAUCCUAUCUUAUCUUUUAUGACUCAGUGCAGACGUGAGAAGGCCUUUCCUGUGCUUUGGAAAUUAUGUACAAGUAAAAGGCAAUAUAAUGUGGCUUAAGAGGUAGACACGGGAGACAUCUCACCCACCUUAAAAUUGGGAACAGAAAACAUCAACUCAGUUGAAUAAAUCUGCAAUGUUUGUGACCUAAAUUAACGCAUUCAACAGCACUCUUUCGAGUACAAUGUUUUACAUAUAAAGAUCAGUAAAGGUGAGUCGGGGGAGGGGAGGGGAGAAAUGAGAGGGGGGUGUGUGUGUCCGAGAGAGAGGAAUUCUAUUCAAAUGCUUUGUGCAACAGUUUAUUACUUUUACUUAUUUUGUUAAAUGUACAUACCAGAGUGUACAAAAAAGUAUUUUUUUUUUCUGGUUUAAAGAAUGAUAAAACAUAAACUCCAUGUUACCUACCCAAGUUAAGAAAUAGAUCACCGCGGUUUCCCUGAGGCCUCGCCUUAGCUGAGCUGCAAUUUUUUCUUUCUCCUCUCGCCAGCUCUGCCUCCAGGACCUCUUUACGGCUGUGCCGCUGUGUGUGUCCAUCCUUACAGGGCAGCAUGCUGACUGCCUGGUGUUGACCCGGAGGUAAAUGGAUGGACACACACUGUGUGUAGCUUAUGUCAUUUGCUUCUUUCGAUCAAACUCUUUUUGAGAUACCUCCACGUUAAUGACUAAAGCAGUUGUUACUCAUUUUUGAAACUUUAUUUCUUUUUCUAUCCAUUCUACUGCUGGUGCAUAUUGCAUUGUUUCCAGUUUGUGGCUAUUGUAACAGUCACGAUGCUGCUAUGAAAUCUUUCCCCCAAGGCACACGUACAAAAGUUUCUUGUCUAGACUAUAGCCUAGGCGUGGAAUUGCUGGGUCAAAGCGUAUCAUUCCUGGGAUGGUCAGUUUUCUGUGUCAACUUGGCUGGGAUAAGGGAGGCCCAGAUGGCUGGUGAAACAUGGCUUCUGGGUGUGUCUGUGAGGUUGUUUCCAGAAGAGGUUAGCACUGGAAUCUGUAAAGGUGGUCCUCAUCAGGGAGGUUGGGCGUCACCUAACCCCCUGAGGGUCUGAAUGGAACGGAGAGGCGGAGGCAGGGCGAGUUUGCUUGAGUUGGGACCUCCAUCUUCUGCCCUUAGAGAGGGAUGACCCUGCUUCUUGGGCCUUCGGAUCACACCAGGAUGGACACUGUUGACUCCCCGGGUCCCAGUUCCUGGGCCUCAGGUCUGUACUGGAAGUACCUCUGGCUUCCCUGGGCCUCCAGCCUGCAGACUGCAGACUGUGGGAUUGACCGGUCUCCACAGCCCCUCAGAGUAAAUCUCUUUCUAUUCAUCCACAUGUAACCUAUUGGUUCUGUUUCUCCAGAGAACCCUCACUGAUGUAAUUCCCACACUCCACCUGCUCAGGUAAUGGCUUUCUCCCAUUCACACCCCUAUUAGCCGUUGGCGAGAGUCCACAGUCUCACCAGAAUUUGGGCGGACUGUUAAUUUUCACUAGUCUGAUAAAGUGACCCAUUAUACAAUUAUGGUUUAAAUAUUACAAAUUGGGGUUUAGAGGUUAGGGUUACAAAUGAGGCUGAACAUUUGUCCAUAUAUUUCUGAGCCAAUAUUUGUAUUACCUGUUCUUGGAAAGGUCUGUUUGCAUCUUUUCCUCAUUUUUCUCUUGAGAUGUUUAUUUUCUCAUUGAUUUGAAGGGGUCUUUAGAGGCACGAAUCACGGACAGUAACUGACCUGAUCAGGCAGCAGAUCUCUCGCCCAUUCUGUGGCUUAUACUGUCACGUUCUUUAUUGACUUUUGGUAAAACAUGUUGAAUUUUAAUACAGUCAAAUGAAUCUUUUCUUUUAUGGCUUUGCUUUUGACAUCUUAGGAAAUCCUUCCCUACCUCAAAGUAAUACAGAUAUUUUCCUAUUCUAGCAUGUUCUAAGAUUUAUAGCUUUGCCACUUCUAUAUAAAUUUUUAAUACACCUGGAAUUCAUUUUCAUGUAUAGAAUAAGGUAGGAAUUCAAUUCCACUUGCAUAACCAAUUGUCCCAGAACAACUUAUGAAAUAGUUCAUCCCCUCCUGUUGGUUUAUGGUGCCCACUGUGUCAUAAGUCAAGUUUCCAAAUAGGCCUGGGUUUAUUCUUCCUGGUCCUGCGUGUGUUUCCUGAUGCAUCCAAAGUACGCUGUUUUAGUUAUCAAUACUGUAGUGAUACUGAGCCUUGAUAUCUGAUAGGGCAAAUUUCCUCCUCUCUUUUUUAUUCUUCUUCAGGAAUUCCCUGACAUUUUUUUGGACUCUUUGUUCACCCACAUACAUUUUAGAGUCACUUUGUCAAUUUAUGUGAAAAGCCCUGUUGGAAUUUUUUUGGAAAAUGUAUUGAAUCUAUAGAUGAAUUUGGAGCAAACUGAUAUCUUUGUAGUAUUAUCUUCCUAUCCAGGGAUGCAGUCUGUCCAUUUACUUAUGCCAUUUAAAAUUUCU